UACGUAGGGGGCAAGCGUUGUCCGGAAUCAUUGGGCGUAAAGCGCGUGUAGGCGGUUCUGUAAGUCGGCUGUGAAAGCUCCGGGCUCAACCCUGGGAUGCCGGUCGAUACUGCCGGACUAGAGUUCGGAAGAGGCGAGUGGAAUUCCCGGUGUAGCGGUGAAAUGCGCAGAUAUCGGGAGGAACACCAAUGGCGAAGGCAGCUCGCUGGGACGUUACUGACGCUGAGACGCGAAAGCGUGGGGAGCAAACAGG
rnacentral:rRNA from 1 species